AUUGAACGCUAGCGGGAUGCCUUACACAUGCAAGUCGAACGGAGUGGCGAACGGGUGAGUAAUGUAUCGGAACGUGCCCAGUAGCGGGGGAUAACUACGCGAAAGCGUAGCUAAUCCCGCAUCCUAUUUGAACGGCCGCUAUCGGAUUUGCUAGUGUGUGGGGUAACGGCUCACCAAGGCGACGAUCCGUAGCUGGUUUGAGAGGACGACCAGCCAAACUGGGACUGAGAAACGGCCCAGACUCCUACGGGAGGCAGCAGUGGGGAAUAUUGGACAAUGGGCGAAAGCCUGAUCCAGCCAGGCCGCGUGUGUGAAGAAGGUCUUCGGGUUGUAAAGCACUUUCAGCGGGGAGGCGUUACCCGCAGAAGAAGCACCGGCUAACUCCGUGCCAGCAGCCGCGGUAAUUC
rnacentral:rRNA from 1 species